AGUGGCGGACGGGUGAGUAACGCGUGAGAAUCUGCCUUGGGGUCGGGGACAACCACUGGAAACGGUGGCUAAUACCGGAUAAGCCGAUUGGUGAAAGAUUUAUUGCCCGAAGAGGAGCUCGCGUCUGAUUAGCUAGUUGGUGAGGUAAGAGCUCACCAAGGCAGCGAUCAGUAGCUGGUCUGAGAGGACGAUCAGCCACACUGGGACUGAGACACGGCCCAGACUCCUACGGGAGGCAGCAGUGGGGAAUUUUCCGCAAUGGGCGAAAGCCUGACGGAGCAAGACCGCGUGAGGGAGGAAGGCUCUUGGGUUGUAAACCUCUUUUCUCAGGGAAGAAGAUCUGACGGUACCUGAGGAAUCAGCCUCGGCUAACUCCGUGCCAGCAGCCGCGGUAAUGCGGAGGAGGCAAGCGUUAUCCGGAAUUAUUGGGCGUAAAGCGUCCGCAGGUGGCGAUUCAAGUCUGCUGUCAAAGCACGGGGCUUAACUCCGUAAAGGCAGUGGAAACUGAAUAGCUAGAGUGCCGUAGGGGUAGAGGGAAUUCCCGGUGUAGCGGUGAAAUGCGUAGAGAUCGGGAAGAACAUCGGUGGCGAAAGCGCUCUACUGGACGGCAACUGACACUCAGGGACGAAAGCUAGGGGAGCGAAUGGGAUUAGAUACCCC
rnacentral:rRNA from 1 species